CCUGUGGAUCGUUACAUAAACGAAAGUAGUUUUAAACGUUAAUAUUUGAGUCUCAAAUAUUAACGUUUUUAACAAAAUUGGACGGGAUGAAGCAGGAA
ncrna:unclassified sequences RAGATH-18 RNA